GGGGUUGUGGCUCAGAGGUAGAGUGCUUGCCUAGCAUGCAUGAGGCACUGGGUACAAUGCUCAACACCA
rnacentral:tRNA from 1 species